rnacentral:rRNA from 1 species
GACGAACGCUGGCGGCGUGCUUAACACAUGCAAGUCGAACGAAGUGGCGAAAGGGUGAGUAACGCGUCAUCCACGUGCCAUUCAGAGGGGGACAACAGUUGGCAACGACUGCUAAUACCGCCUACUGUAGGAGGGGAUGGCAGCUGAUUAGCUAGUUGGAGGGUUAAAGGCCCACCAAGGCGAUGAUCAGUAGCCGGGCUUGGGGGAUUGACGGGCACAUUUGGACUGGGACACGGCCCCGACUUCUACGGGGGGCAGGAGGGGGGAAUCUUUCGAAAUGGGGGAAAGUCUUGCGGCGGCACGGCGCGUGGUUGAUGACGGGCUUCGGGUUGUAAAGCGAUUUUAAUUGGGGAGCGUUACCGGCAUAGAAAGCCACGGCUAACUACGUGCCAGCAGCCGCGGUAAUUC